rnacentral:rRNA from 1 species
CGAAUCAUCUGGAAAGAUGAAUCAAAGAAGGUAAUAAUCCUGUAGUCGAAAAUGUUGUCUCUCUUGAGUGGAUCCUGAGUACGACGGAGCACGUGAAAUUCCGUCGGAAUCUGGGAGGACCAUCUCCUAAGGCUAAAUACUCUCUAGUGACCGAUAGCGAACCAGUACCGUGAGGGAAAGGUGAAAAGCACCCCGGAAGGGGAGUGAAAUAGAACCUGAAACCGUGUGCUUACAAGUAGUCAGAGCCCGUUAAUGGGUGAUAGCGUGCCUUUUGUAGAAUGAACCGGCGAGUUACGAUUUGAUGCAAGGUUAAGCAGUAAAUGUGGAGCCGUAGCGAAAGCGAGUCUGAAUAGGGCGUUUAGUAUUUGGUCGUAGACCCGAAACCAGGUGAUCUACCCUUGGUCAGGUUGAAGUUCAGGUAACACUGAAUGGAGGACCGAACCGACUUACGUUGAAAAGUGAGCGGAUGAACUGAGGGUAGCGGAGAAAUUCCAAUCGAACCUGGAGAUAGCUGGUUCUCUCCGAAAUAGCUUUAGGGCUAGCCUCAAGUGAUGAUUAUUGGAGGUAGAGCACUGUUUGGACGAGGGGCCCCUCUCGGGUUACCGAAUUCAGACAAACUCCGAAUGCCAAUUAAUUUAACUUGGGAGUCAGAACAUGGGUGAUAAGGUCCGUGUUCGAAAGGGAAACAGCCCAGACCACCAGCUAAGGUCCCAAAAUAUAUGUUAAGUGGAAAAGGAUGUGGCGUUGCCCAGACAACUAGGAUGUUGGCUUAGAAGCAGCCAUCAUUUAAAGAGUGCGUAAUAGCUCACUAGUCGAGUGACACUGCGCCGAAAAUGUACCGGGGCUAAACAUAUUACCGAAGCUGUGGAUUGUCCUUUGGACAAUGGUAGGAGAGCGUUCUAAGGGCGUUGAAGCAUGAUCGUAAGGACAUGUGGAGCGCUUAGAAGUGAGAAUGCCGGUGUGAGUAGCGAAAGACGGGUGAGAAUCCCGUCCACCGAUUGACUAAGGUUUCCAGAGGAAGGCUCGUCCGCUCUGGGUUAGUCGGGUCCUAAGCUGAGGCCGACAGGCGUAGGCGAUGGAUAACAGGUUGAUAUUCCUGUACCACCUAUAAUCGUUUUAAUCGAUGGGGGGACGCAGUAGGAUAGGCGAAGCGUGCGAUUGGAUUGCACGUCUAAGCAGUAAGGCUGAGUAUUAGGCAAAUCCGGUACUCAUUAAGGCUGAGCUGUGAUGGGGAGAAGACAUUGUGUCUUCGAGUCGUUGAUUUCACACUGCCGAGAAAAGCCUCUAGAUAGAAAAUAGGUGCCCGUACCGCAAACCGACACAGGUAGUCAAGAUGAGAAUUCUAAGGUGAGCGAGCGAACUCUCGUUAAGGAACUCGGCAAAAUGACCCCGUAACUUCGGGAGAAGGGGUGCUCUUUAGGGUUAACGCCCAGAAGAGCCGCAGUGAAUAGGCCCAAGCGACUGUUUAUCAAAAACACAGGUCUCUGCUAAACCGUAAGGUGAUGUAUAGGGGCUGACGCCUGCCCGGUGCUGGAAGGUUAAGAGGAGUGGUUAGCUUCUGCGAAGCUACGAAUCGAAGCCCCAGUAAACGGCGGCCGUAACUAUAACGGUCCUAAGGUAGCGAAAUUCCUUGUCGGGUAAGUUCCGACCCGCACGAAAGGCGUAACGAUUUGGGCACUGUCUCAACGAGAGACUCGGUGAAAUCAUAGUACCUGUGAAGAUGCAGGUUACCCGCGACAGGACGGAAAGACCCCGUGGAGCUUUACUGUAGCCUGAUAUUGAAAUUCGGCACAGCUUGUACAGGAUAGGUAGGAGCCUUUGAAACGUGAGCGCUAGCUUACGUGGAGGCGCUGGUGGGAUACUACCCUAGCUGUGUUGGCUUUCUAACCCGCACCACUUAUCGUGGUGGGAGACAGUGUCAGGCGGGCAGUUUGACUGGGGCGGUCGCCUCCUAAAAGGUAACGGAGGCGCUCAAAGGUUCCCUCAGAAUGGUUGGAAAUCAUUCAUAGAGUGUAAAGGCAUAAGGGAGCUUGACUGCGAGACCUACAAG